rnacentral:rRNA from 1 species
UACAGAGGGUGCAAGCGUUAUUCGGAAUUAUUGGGCGUAAAGCGCAUGUAGGUGGUUAGGUAAGUCUGGUGUGAAAGCCCAGAACUCAAUUCUGGAAGUGCAUUGGAUACUGCCUGACUAGAGUACAGGAGGGGAGAACGGAAUUCCUGGUGUAGAGGUGAAAUUCGUAGAUAUCAGGAGGAACAACGGUGGCGAAGGCGGUUCUCUGGACUGUAACUGACACUAAGGUGCGAAAGCGUGGGGAGCAAACAGG